AGUUAAAAAUCAAUUAAUACUCAGCAUGCAAAGUAAUUAAAACAACCAUGCGUAGAAAGGCUGUUACAUGCUAAUUAUAAAAAGUACCUUGACAUCUUCUUGAGCGUUAUUUUAUAACCUUUAAUUUAUACAUUACAAAAUCAUUUUUAUUUUAUAUUGACUAUUUUUUGGACAAAAUACUACAACUGUUAAAUCCCGGUAAGAUCUGUGGUGCGCAUUGGUUUGUUUCAAGUACUCAUUCAAGCGUUUAAUCAAUUUCGGUACCAAACUUUUUUCUAUGAGAAGUUCUAUUUUUUUUUUAUACAAUGUUUUUGUAAUGUCUGUUUCUUUAGUAAAAAACUAAACAAAAAUUAUUUAAAAUAUUUAAAUUAUUAGAUUUUGAAAGAGUGGCGUACAUGGCGUAGCUACCUGGAGCAGGUUGGAGAUCUAAUGCUUUAAAUACAAAAAACAUGUGGGCGUAAAUUUAUUAUUAUUAUUAUUAUUAUUAUUAUUGUUAUUAUUAUUAUUUUGUGCUUUAUUUUGAUGAUCCUGAAUAGGUUUUAUCGACAAGGAUCAUGUUAACAUUUCAGCAAUCACAGUCUGAAAGCAACGGUGCCCGAAGAGGCCCUUACGGUUUUAUCAAAGAGCCUGAUAUUGCAGAAAUUGCCCUUAGGUGGGGUUUAAACUACAGACCUUACGUUUCUGAAGCAAAUGCGCUACCACUGCGCCACGACUGCUCAAUAAAUCUAUCGUCGAUAAUCUCAAAGUAAAAACUUCGAAUCGGUUGGCAACAAUUUGUAUCAUGGCAGUUUACAGUUUGUAAAAAAUUUUGAGUUGUUUUAAAUUGUUUUUUUCAA